rnacentral:rRNA from 1 species
UACGUAGGGGGCAAGCGUUGUCCGGAUUUAUUGGGCGUAAAGAGCGUGUAGGCGGCCAGACAGGUCCGUUGUGAAAACUCGAGGCUCAACCUCGAGCUGUCGGUGGAAACCGCGUGGCUAGAGUCCGGAAGAGGGGACUGGAAUUCCCGGUGUAGCGGUGGAAUGCGCAGAUAUCAGGAAGAACACCGGUGGCGAAGGCGGCUCUCUGGGCCUUACCUGACGCUGAGGAGCGAAAGCGUGGGUAGCGAACAGG